rnacentral:rRNA from 1 species
CACGUAGGGGCCAAGCGUUGUCCGGAUUUAUUGGGCGUAAAGAGCUCGUAGGCGGUUGGGUAAGUCGGGUGUGAAAACUCCAGGCUCAACUGGAGAAUUGCGCCCGAAACUGCUGUGCUUGAGAAAGAUAGAGGUACGCGGAACUUAGGGUGGAGCGGUGAAAUGCGUUGAUAUCCUAAGGAACACCGGUGGCGAAAGCGGCGUACUGGGUCUUUUCUGACGCUGAGGCACGAAAGCCAGGGUAGCGAACGGG